CGGCCGGGUGUGUCCUCCGUUAAAUCCACGGGCCUAACCCGUGGGCUGCGGAGGAUACUACCCGGCUUGGGGGUGGGGGAGGGCGGCGGUAUUCCCGGGGUAGGGGUAAAAUCCACUGAUCCCGGGAGGACCACCAGUGGCGAAGGCGGCCGCCCAGAACACGCCCGACGGUGAGGGGCGAAAGCUGGGGGAGCAAACGGGAUUAGAUACCCCGGUAGUCCCAGCUGUAAACGAUGCGGGCUAGGUGUCGGGUGGGCUACGGGCUCACCCGGUGCCGAAGGGAAACCAUUAAGCCCGCCGCCUGGGGA
rnacentral:rRNA from 1 species